GGCCUCGUAGCUCAGUUGUCAAGAGCGUUUUCUGUACAUAAGCCAUCCGUUUACUGGCGUGGGUUCGAAUCCCACCGAGGCCA
rnacentral:tRNA from 1 species